UACGGAGGGUGCAAGCGUUAUCCGGAUUCACUGGGUUUAAAGGGAGCGUAGGUGGCUUUGUAAGUCAGUGGUGAAAUAUUGCGGCUCAACCGCAAAACUGCCAUUGAUACUGCUUAGCUUGAAUCAAGUCGAGGUGGAUGGAAUAAUACAUGUAGCGGUGAAAUGCUUAGAUAUGUAUUAGAACACCGAUUGCGAAGGCAGUUCACUAGGCUUGUAUUGACACUGAGGCUCGAAAGCGUGGGGAUCAAACAGGAUUAGAUACCCUGGUAGUCCACGCCCUAAACGAUGUAAACUCGACAUUAGCGAUAUACUGUUAGUGUCCAAGCGAAAGCGUUAAGUUUACCACCUGGGAAGUACGUCCGCAAGGAUG
rnacentral:rRNA from 1 species